GCGGAGGUUGCCAAGCCUGGUCAAAGGCGUAGGGUUCAGGACUCUGAAUCGGAACAAAUCUCGCCCUCCGCACCA
rnacentral:tRNA from 1 species